AUUGAACGCUGGCGGCAGGCCUAACACAUGCAAGUCGAACGAGUGGCGGACGGGUGAGUAAUGCUUGGGAAUCGGGCUUAUGGCGGGGGAUAACUACGGGAAACUGUAGCCAAUACCGCGUACCAUAGGAUGAGCCCAAGUGGGAUUAGGUAGUUGGUGAGGUAAAGGCUCACCAAGCCGCCGCUCUCUAGCUGGUCUGAGAGGAUGACCGGCCACACUGGGACUGAGACACGGCCCAGACUCCUACGGGAGGCAGCAGUGGGGAAAAUUGCGCAAUGGGGGCAACCUGACGCAGCCAUGCCGCGUGAAUGAAGAAGGCCUUCGGGUUGUAAAGUUCUUUCGGUAGCGAGGCGUUAACUACAGAAGAAGCACCGGCUAACUCCGUGCCAGCCGCCGCGGUAAUUC
rnacentral:rRNA from 1 species